rnacentral:rRNA from 1 species
AGUGACCCCGGUCUAACCCCGGGAUGUUCAUAACCCUUUGUUGUCCGACUCUGUUGCCUCCGGGGCGACCCUGCCUUCGGGCGGGGGCUCCGGGUGGACACUUCAAACUCUUGCGUAACUUUGCAGUCUGAGUAAACUUAAUUAAUAAAUUAAAACUUUUAACAACGGAUCUCUUGGUUCUGGCAUCGAUGAAGAACGCAGCGAAAUGCUGAUAAGUAAUGUGAAUUGCAGAAUUCAGUGAAUCAUCGAAUCUUUGAACGCACAUUGCGCCCCCUGGUAUUCCGGGGGGCAUGCCUGUUCGAGCGUCAUUUCACCACUCAAGCCUCGCUUGGUAUUGGGCAACGCGGUCCGCCGCGUGCCUCAAAUCGACCGGCUGGGUCUUCUGUCCCCUAAGCGUUGUGGAAACUAUUCGCUAAAGGGUGUUCGGGAGGCUACGCCGUAAAACAACCCCAUUUCUAAGGUUGACCUCGGAUCAGGAGGG